rnacentral:rRNA from 1 species
AGUUUGAUCCUCUGGCUCCAGAUUGAACGCUGGCGGAUGCUUUACACAUGCAAGUCGAACGACAGCAUAGACUUCGGUCUGGUGGCGAGUGGCGAACGGGUGAGUAAUGCACGGAACGUGCCUAGCAAAGGGGAUGUAACUACGCGAAAGCGGUAGCUAAUACCGCAUACCGCCCUUCGGGGAAAGCGGGGACCUUCGGGCCUUCGCACUAUUAGAGCGGCUUGAUAUCGAUUAGCUUAGCUAGGGCAACGGCUCACCGCGACGAUCCGUAGCUGGUUUGAGAGGACGACCCCAGCCACACUGGGAUCGAGACACGGCCCAGACUCCUACGGAGGCAGCAGUGGGGAAUUUUGGACAAUGGGGAAACCUGAUCCGCUUACCCCGUGCGAUGAAGGCCUCGGUUGUGAAACACCCUUGCAGAAAGAAACGGCACGGAUAAUACCCUGUGCAACUGACGGUACCUGCAGAAUACACCGGCUAAUCCACGUGCCAGCACAGCGGUAAUACGUAGGGUGCGCGUUAAUCGGAAAUUACUGGGCGUAAAAGCGUGCGAUAGGUUCGGAAAAGAAAGAUGAAAUCCCAGAGCUUAACUUUGGAACUGCAUUUUUAACUACCGAGCUAGAGGGUGUCGAGGGAGGUGAAUUCCCAAGUGUAGCAGUGAAAUGCAGAUAUGCGGAGGAACACCGAUGGCGAAGGCAGCCUCCGAUAACACUGACGCUCUGCACGAAAGCGUGGGGGAGCAAACAGGAUUAGAUACCCCGUAGUCCACGCCCUAAACGAGAUGUCAACUAGCUGUUGGGGCCUUCGGGCCUGUAGCGCAGCUAACGCGUGAAGUUGACCGCCUGGGGAGUACGGUCGCAAGAUUAAAAACUCAAAGGAAUUGACGGGACCUGCACAAGCGGUGGAUGAUGUGAUUAAUUCGAUGCAACGCGAAAACUCUUACCUACCCUGACAUGUCGAAUCCCCGAAGAGAUUUGGGAGUGCUCGCAAGAGAACCGGAACACAGGUGCCGCAUGGCUGUCGUCAGCUCGUGUCGUGAGAUGUUGGGUUAAGUCCUGCAAACGAGCGCAACCCCUUGUCAUUAGUUGCUACGAAAGGGGCACUUAUCGAGACUGCCGGUGAGCAACCGGAGGAAGGUGGGGAUGACGUCAAGUCCUCGCGGCUCUUUAUGGGUAGGAGCCACACGUCAUACAAUGGUCGGGACAGAGGGUCGCCAACCCUGCGAUGGAGCCAAUCCCAGAACCCGAUCGUAGUCCGGAUCGUAGUCUGCAACUCGACUGCGUGAAGUCGGAAUCGCUAGUAAUCGCGGAUCGCAGUGUCGCGGUGAAUACGUUCCCGGGUCUUGGUACACACCGCCCGUCACACCAUGGGAGUGGGCUUUACCAGAAGUAGUUAGCUUCAACUGCAGGAGUAUGACACACGGUAGGAUUCAUGAUCGGGGUGAAGUCGUAACAAGGCAG